AGAGAGCAAGGGAGAGAGCACAUGUGCAAGCAGGGGAGGGGGGAGGAAAGGGAGAGAGAAUUUUAAGGAAGCUCCAUGCUCAGCACAGAGCUCAACACGGGGCUUGAACUUAUAACCGUUGAUGCUCAACCGACAGAGCCACUGAGGUGCCCCAAGAAAGUAGACCUUGAAAGUCCUUAGCUCUCCAGUUUGAAGCCAAUUAUUCCCUUCAAACCUCCUAAAAGCAGUUGAGGAAUCAACUGGGCAAGUGGGAUCACAAGUGCAUACCUUUAAAGAGGAUGGAAGACAGCAGCAAUUAAUUAAUGAAGACUGAAGAAAUACUUAUAAUAUUUCAAAUGUUCUUUUGUACUUAUUUGACAAAAAUCCCAAGAUUCAUCAGUUUCUGGAAACUCAACACAAGACUGGCUUUCCUUCACUGUGACUGAUGAGACACUAACCAAGCUGGGGGAUCAAACAAGGGACGUUUCACCAAAAAUUCCACAUGAAUGGUUUACGAUGUUGGUGAAAUAUUCCCUAUGAUACCACAAAAUGUCUUCUUAAAACCAACCAAAUAAUGUUGAUCAGUAAAUUUCCUUCUUCAAUGAUCUCUGUGGACAGAAGCGUUUGAGGCACAUGAACAAGGAAUGCUCAAGAUUAUUGGGAUCUGGAAGGUACUUUGUGAACACAUGAGGCUGCGCACCUGUACUCUAUGAUGGUGGUUGACAUUGGUGGUGGGAAGAUUUCAACUUUUCUCUAAUUUAAGAAGAUUUAAAUAAAGACUUCCUGGUUGAUAUCUUGGAAUCCUGGCAGCUUCUGAGCAACAGUUUUCCCAAGACUCUGAGGCAGUAGUUACAUCUUUUAAGAAUCCAGUUAGUAAUUUUAUCCUGGAUACAUUUUAUUCUGGAGACAUUUCCAUUUUAAACAGUUUAUGCAAUUAUACACACACAUACACACACGUGUAUGUACGAACACACAUAGGGCCAUGUGUAAAAGACAUUAUCCCUAUAAACUCUUUUCAUCUUAUUCAUAAACUAAGACUGAGUACUAUCAAGGAGCAGAUAGUUGUCUAAAAAUCUAUUAAGGAAGAACUUUGGAUUUAAGGGAAAUAUUAUUCAUUGAACCCUCAGACAUUCUCAAGCUAGAAUUUACCCUUAAGCAUAAGGAAUGGAGAAAUUUAUUACCACCAGUUUUUAUCUUUACUUGUUUUUUUACUCUGUCCUAUGUAAGAAAAACCAAUUGAAUUAAUGUGGUGUUGGUGUUAUUUUCAUGUUCUAGUAAGCUUAAUUUAAAAACAUCACUUAUGUUCCUCUUCUUUUAUACUAUGUUUCUGAGUUGCUCAUGUACAAUAUAUCUAUGUUGUGAUUUCUCAGUUUCUUCAUGGAAUGUGCUAUUUUAGUUCUAGAUAUCUGAUCAUAUUUAAAUGACUUAGUCUUUUCUGGUCAAAUAGUAACUUUUUUCCCCCCUUCAAUAUUCUGCAGGGGAAUUAAGCAGAUUCUCAUAGGUAGAAAUGUUUAAAUGUGUCUUCAGAACACUCAUGGGAAAAACAGAAUAGCUCUGUCAUGUUUUUAGCAGCAAAACACUUAAAAGAAAUAGUUCUCCAACAAAAUUAGUUAUGAAGCCCACUAGAGAUAAUCCCAUCCUAAAUUACUCGCUGCAUAAUACAUUCUUAUAAAAAAGAGCAAAACAUGGCAGGAAGGUAAGAUAAAGAACUAUCUCUGAAACACAUUAAGUCCUGAUAUAUAUUAACAACUAUCAGUCAGUUUCUAACUUGCACUUUCAAAUUAUAAAAGGAAAUUUGUUUGAUAUGCUUUCUAUCUUAUAUUUGGAAAACUUAAAAUAAUGUUAGAAUAGGUUAGAUUUAGAAUAGGUUUUUGUUUCCUAGUUUGAAGAAAUACAGUAAAAUCUUGGGUUUGCGAGCAUAAUUCAUGCUUGUAAUCCAAAGCACUUGUAUAUCAAAGCAAAUUUCCCCAUAAGAAAUACUGGAAACUUAGAUGAUUUGUUCCACAACCCAAAAAUAUUCAUAUAAAAAUGAUUACAAUACUGUAAUAUAAUACAAAAUAAUAAAUAAAAUACAAAAUAUAAAGAAAAAUAAACAAAUUAACCUCUAUU